UACGUAGGGUGCAAGCGUUAAUCGGAAUUACUGGGCGUAAAGCGUGCGCAGGCGGUUUUGUAAGCCAGAUGUGAAAUCCCCGGGCUUAACCUGGGAAUGGCAUUUGGGACUGCAAGGCUUGAGUGCGGCAGAGGAGACUAGAAUUCCUGGUGUAGCAGUGAAGUGCGUAGAUAUCAGGAGGAAUACCGAUGGCGAAGGCAGGUCUCUGGGCUGACACUGACGCUGAGGAGCGAAAGCGUGGGGAGCGAACAGG
rnacentral:rRNA from 1 species